UGCGGAGAUGUCCUGCAGGUGGUUGG
rnacentral:piRNA from 1 species